rnacentral:piRNA from 1 species
UUGCAGGGUGGAAGCCUUCACCAGUGG